rnacentral:rRNA from 1 species
AUGAGGUUUUCUGGGACGAACAGAUUCAAUCAGAGUCCAUGUAGCAAAGUUCAGCACCAAGUGAUUUUGACAUUCCUGUACUUUGCAGAGUACUUCCGCACUAGGUUCUUCCUCUUGGAAAACGUAAGGAGCUUUGUUUCAUUCAACAAAGGAAAAAACCACACAAGCAUCAUUCCUGGAGACGGGAUAAGGUGCUGCUUGACACACUUGGACUUCUCUAUUUUCCCUUAA